rnacentral:lncRNA from 1 species
ACAUGGAUUGCAAGAAAAUAAAUUCUAUGGGAGGUUCAAAAAAGGCCGCAGCUGCAGUUGCUUCUAUGAAUUGGGAGAAAUUCUAGAGAGCCGAACAGCCACCGGAAAGCAUGCCUAUUCGUCUGCUCAGAGUGAUGUCCACCACUCUCCUUAUUCUGCCGAAAAGACCACCGCGGCUGCAUCAAGGCGUAAGGGGAAGGCAAAGGUUGACGGACCAACCUCAGACUUUUGGGGGGAUGAUGUUUACAUUCCAGUGCGGAAUGAAGAAGUCGAAUUCGUUGCUAGUAGGCCGGGUAAACGCCCAGUAUCGAGUCGGGGGACAUCAUCCUACGAUGGUUCAAGGAGCACUAAGUCUCAGAAGACUGGGGAAGCUCUACGAGACGCAACAAUGAACAUCGACAAGCUGUCUCAGAUCAAAAUUGAGGAAAACACUAGACGAAAUGACUGGUGCGUAGCGGUGCUAAAAGUUUGGGACAAAUGCUACCCAAGACAUGAGCCCGUUGAACUGUGGUCCCGGAAACGUCUUGCUUCCAUGAAAGAGUUUGAAAAUUUCGAGAGGUGGUGCCACAUGUUUCUCCAGUCGGAUGAAGGCUUCCAGUAUUGGUAUGCUGAUACCAUUCUUGAUCCGAAAUAGUUGCUGCAUAGGCAACUAUAACUGGAGUUUCGUUUAUGGUGCCUUACUGGACAUCAGAUGGAAAUUUGGCUGGGUUCUAUAACUGUGUCUUGGAGGACCAAUUUUGGAUUGCUUGUCUAUGACUAAAAAUUCCC